UGGGGAAUUUUGCACAAUGGGGGAAACCCUGAUGCAGCGACGCCGCGUGAUUUAGAAGGCCUUCGGGUUGUAAAAAUCUUUUCUAUGGGAAGAAAAUGACAGUACCAUAGGAAUAAGGACCGGCUAAUUACGUGCCAGCAGCCGCGGUAAUACGUAAGGUCCGAGCGUUGUCCGGAAUCAUUGGGCGUAAAGGGUACGUAGGCGGGUAAGCAAGUUAGAAGUGAAAUCCUAUAGCUCAACUAUAGUAAGCUUUUAAAACUGCUCAUCUUGAGGUAUGGAAGGGAAAGUGGAAUUCCUAGUGUAGCGGUGAAAUGCGCAGAUAUUAGGAGGAAUACCGGUGGCGAAGGCGACUUUCUGGCCAUAACCUGACGCUGAGGUACGAAAGCGUGGGUAGCAAGCAGG
rnacentral:rRNA from 1 species